CUGACAGUUGAUUCAAGACUCAAAAUAACAGUCUGUCAAACCUGGAGGAUUUAUAAACUGUUUUUCAACUUGAGUUGCCUAUGGAGUCCAUGGUGGAUCAGAGAGGGGAAGGGAUCAUGUCAAAUGUUUCAACUUCAAUGAUAUCUCAGCUCCAUCAACACCUUCAUCUUAAGAUGUCUCAAGACAUCUUGAGACAUAAAGUUGAUCUACUCUUGCUAAACAGACUUGACAUACGAUAAAGCUGGGGUCCUAUCUGGUGUCAAACAUUAAGCCCUUAUGGACGGUAGGGCUUUCUGCUUAGGAUUUGACUUCAAAACAAUAAAGAUUGGGUCCUACCUCGCCGCCAACAUUGAGCCGUACCCCACAGCAAGCCAGAAGCUCACCCAUCCAGAAGGCCUUGUUAUGCUGGGGCCAGAUAUCCUGCAGAAACAUCUCCAAAUGAAAAGCCUGGAGAUUUAAUCUCUGCUGGACCAGAUUCCGACCAGCAUGUCCUACCAGUAUUCAGCCAAUCCCCACAACAUUAAGCACCAUUACAGCAUUGCCCAGAUGCAGAGACUCAGAAGCAGAUGGAAAAACAAACCUUGCCCAAAAAGACCAAAGCACCCAUGG